AUAUUGACUUUGUAGCCUUACACUGGAGGAAAAAGAGCAAUCCUGAGAUUUUUUUUUCUUCUUUUUCUUCUGUGAGCACUGGACAGAUGUUGAGGAUUCUCCCUUUCUCUUUUGGCUUGUUCCUUGCAGUAGGGGAUAGAGAAUGAGGUGGUUUCCCUGCCAUAUCUUGGGGCUGAAUCUGCUGGAUCUGGACCCAGCAGCUUCCUAGACAGAUACUUGUCCUGACCCUUGUAGCAGCACUUAGUGCUAAGUAAAUUCAAGGCUACACAGUUAUUGGAGCACUGUGGGAAUAUACAAGGAACAAAGAUUUUCGAAAGUGCCCAUGGAUUUUAAAAUCUCAGACUUCAGACAUAUACCCUGAGAAAACCAAGGGAAACCUGAUGGCAAACCUGCACCAGAGCAACUACUUCUGCAAACCCAGUGCUGCUAGUGUGUCUGCCCCAUCCAAAAGCCUUCUCGAAAUGCUCUGCCUCCCAGGAUUUUCUAAAUAUUCUCCAUUCAUCCCCAUCGUAAUUCACACCUUAUUUUUUUCCCCUCUGUGUGACUCAGUAACAGUCACCUCCCUUUUUUAUUUUUCCUAGUUAAAGGUCAGCCUGAGCUGUGUAUUACAGAUGAAAGGAUGCAGCCCAAAGCCAGCCUAGGGGCCCAGUUUGUGUUGUGGAUCUCUCCUGAGGGCACCUCUGUUUGCAAGUGUGUGCCUUGCAACUUCUGAGAAGCCUACAGAGAUUGCUAUUGUUUAGGAUAAGUUCUGUCAAAUUUAUUAUUCGAUAAUUUUUUUUUCAUAUUUCCUUCACAGAACCCAGCCACUUUCAGGCUGUAAUUUUGAGCCUACUCUGUGCCAAGUGUCAGGAAUGACUUUUUGUCCUCAACGCUGAGGAGACAUUUCCCACCAGUGCAGAUAAAAGUGUCUCUUCCCUCCAAGGACAUAGAGGAGGAGAUGGCAGAAAGUGAGCUAAGUUCUGUUUUCACACUUGAAGGUAAAAUGUUACCAGAUUUUGUCCAUCCACACAUGCUCCUUAAGAUUUAAUCUUGAAGUAUCUGUUCUAAUGUACUUGAGCAAACAGUAGAUAGACACAGUGGGAGGGAGUUCAAGGGCAGCUGCAGUAAGCCCUAGGUGUAAAUACAACUGAGGAGAAAUAAAAAAGGGAUGAUCUCCUACUGAAGCCAACCCCCAAAGUGAGAGAACCUCUACGGGACUUCCUAUAAGGAAAAGACAUGUUCACCAUCCUCAUUUUUCUCUGUAGCUCAUGUUUUCACCUAGGUUGCCAGGUGGAUGUUUACUUCCAAAGCAGAUGUCUCCUUCCCCCUGCCUGGAUCCCACUGGCUGUGGACAGCGUGGCUGCUGGCACACUGUAACACCUGGCUCCCCCCAUGAUUAAUGCUCAGAGCUGUGGCUAUGUGGGUGAAAUCUGCAGCACUGCCAUGUGUGCCUUUAGUUUAGUUUCCAGACUAUGCAGAUACAUGUGGUAGAAUCUUUAUAUAUACACCUUUGAGAUGCACACCUAUAAAGGGAAUACACCAAAAUCUUGUAACCUUGUAUCAGUUGUAAAUAAGGAAUGGCAUCUCAUGGCUUUUUUUAUUCUUUUGAGGGGAUUUUAUCUAUAGGUUGAGCGUGUUAAGGGAGUUUACCUCACUGCAGGUGUACCUAGCACUUUUAUUGUGAUGGAGCACAGAUUGCACCAUGAUUUCUGAAGAGGCUGCUCUUUAAAGAGGUAAGAUACAAAGCAACAAGCACAUUCAUAUAAUAGUUCAUCAUUUAAGGUAACACAUUCUGCCUGACAUGUAGUGUUUUGCACAUUUUGAAUUGUCUCCUGCCAAAAUAUUCAGGCCUGCAGGGGGAACCCCUAUUGGGAACACAGGACAGAUGGAUCUGAAUCCAGUCAUGAAACUCCCUGGGGCCAGCAGUGUGAUGUUAAUGAUCACACCACAGUAAGAUGUAAAACAUACCUUUGUGCAGCUCAGUGUAAACAGCAACUUUGGUAUUAUGAUGUAAAUGAGAAACCAGCAAGAAAUGAUGUGUGAAUGGAAACACAGCAAGGUGCUCUGAGGGAGCAGGAAGCACAGUGCAAGGGGAAAUUCUGCACAUUGCAAAUGGAGGUAAAAUUAAACCCUGGACUCGUUUCAUUGUAGAGAUAAACUUUAAAUACUACUUGGGCUGAGCAGAAGGGAGGAAACUCACCAAGCUGUACCUAACCUCAGCCAAGGUUCUGGCAGGGCAUUGGAUAGGUUACCAUUAGGCUUGGGUUCCUGGGAUCACCAGUUAAGAGCUGGAAUGUGGGACUGGGUCCAAAGGGAAGAUAAAAAUCACCAAUAUACCUUAUUCUAAUAUAUCCUAUGGUCCACCUUCCUGCUCAAAUUAGGGCUGGCUUUGAAGUUAGGCAGUGUUGCUCAGGACUUUGACUGUCUGAUUUUCAGGUGUCUCCAAGGGCAGGGAUACCUCUCUGGGGAGGCUUGUUCUAGUGUUUGGACAACUUCAUGGUGAAAACAUUUGCUGUAGCAUUAUGUAAGACUGAAAUGGCACCAUGUUUGGAGGGCAUGAAAGACGAGAACCUGAGAACAGGUAGAAAUUAAAGGGACUAGAGGGGCUAUCCAGAGAUGCAGGAUGUGCAGCUGGGUCCCCAGCAUUAUUUCAGAAAUCCCUGGUGCCCCUCUGGAAGUCCUCCCCUGAGUGGGUAAUGGCAGCUUGCCUUGGAGAUGUGAUUUGCAUUGGGUCCUGGUGAAACAGAAGGUGCAGUCAGAGAGCCUGGUGUCGCCAAGGUAAUUUAAAAAUGUGCUGGGCAGCAGGAGUGGUGCUGUGUCUGCUGCUGGCUGUAUUGUAACAGUGAUGUGCCUCUUUGUCCCAGAGUUCCCUGUCCUCUUCCUCUCAUCUCUAGCAAAGGAGUGAAGGGCUUGCUGGGAAGCUGAGCUUGAAGCUAGAGGAGGUCAUACUUAACUAACCUCCUGGAGUUCUUUGAAGAUAUUACUGCCAGGCUAGAUAAGGGGAAUUCAGCAGUAUGCUUAGAGUUUCAAAGAGCAUUUCACAAAGUUCCACAUCAGAGAUUAAUAGCUAAGGCAAAAGGUAAAGGAAGAGGAGGUAAUAGAGGCUGUUGGAUCAAAACCAGCUCGAGGGCAGGUAUGAGACAAUAAGCACAGAUGAAAACUUUUCAAGCUGGCAGAAGGCUGUUCUUGGGACUGUUUCAGGAUCUCUGUGAUGUGUAAUCCAGACAGCACAAAGGUGCCCCACCAUGCUCAUGUCUCUAAGGCAGCCUGGGUUUGGCACCACCAGCAGCAAAGUGUCCUAGCUAGACCUCCUUCUGACUUCCCAGCCUGAUCAGCCAGGAGUCCUUUCAUGUCUCUGUUGGGUGGGAGCAGUUGUCAUGGUCUGAAGUCACCAGUUCCUCUGGGGCCAUGUCAAGGGGCUGCCAGCCCUGCUGCACUGCCACGUGUUUCAGAGCAGUCUAUUUGCUGAGCCUGCUCCUCAGAAACACUGUGUGCACAUGAAGCUGCUGAGGUCUGAGAAGUUACUCCAGCUUUGCAGUGGGUUGAGGGAAGAGAUAAUUUGGUGUAAGGUCUCCCCAAGUCUGUGCAUAACCUCAGCAGAUUCACCAGGGCCAAAAUCUCUUCAAUGACUCUGCUAACAAAUGACAAAAUGGAAUUAAAUGUGGAGAAAUGCAGAGUAAUUAAUCUGCAAGCAGUGAAUUGGUCUGGGGAAUAUGCCUUAACAGAGCAAGCAUUCAGCAGAGGAAUGAAGAGAGGGAUUUGAUGUGUGUGUGGGGUUAGUUUCUUUUGGAAAAAUCCUUGAAACUGUCUGCCUAGAUCACAUCCGUAGCAAAAGGGCAAGCAAGACACAAGGCUGCAUUAAUGGAGGGACAGGAUAAAAUCUAAAAGAGGUGGUGUGUCUAUUGCUGGUAAAGGCAUUAGCUCCCACCUGGAAUAUUGUCAGCAGUGUUGGCCACUGCACCAGUGUAGCAUAAGGCAACCAAGAGUAGCCCUGCAGAACCUGUGCACAAAGGUGAGAGAGCUGGAUUUCCCUCCACAGGCUUCUUCCCACUGCAUCCAUUCAUCAUCUAAGAGGAAAUCUGAGGAGCACAAAGGAUUUCCCAUUAACUCUAACAGAUGUUGGGAGUUUUGAAGUCAGUUAUAUUUUUCUCCAGAGUAUUUAUUUCUCUCUGUGUUUCUCUUGUUUCCUUCCACCCAUUUCUUCUCUUCUUUUACGGUUUCCUCUUUUCUUGCUUCUUUCUGUCCUACCCCAAGCCAGGGGGUUGGUUUGUUUUUCCCUAUUACAUUGCUUCUCCUCCACCCCUGCCCAGGAAAAGUCAACUCACUUCUGGCUCCUGAAGGAGUCCCAUCUCCAGUGAAGGGAUUGUUACUUACAGGCUGUGCAGGAGGGUGAAAAAUACUUUUUUUCCACAUAGAUUUGGAUGAAAAGAAAUCAAAGCCAUUGCUUUUGAAGAGGAGAAGCUCAGCAAUCAAACUGAAGGCAGGGCAUGGAAUAUUACUCAAACUGACCAUUGAAACUCUCAGAUGUGGCUUUCCUUCUACACUCAAAGGAGUUCACAAUGCCAUGGCUGUUUCCAAUCAUGAAAAGUCAGUACUAAAAUCUUCCUUUUUUUCCCCCUGGUGUAUAUUCAGAGCAAGUUCAGCAUGUUGCUCUGAAUUUACCCAGCUAUAGAGGACAGCUGAUUUAAUUUGAGCUGUACAAGAGGCAAGCUUAUUUUGCUUUCCCUUGGAUUAUGGUAAGCUUGUCAAUCAAUGCCCAGGGCCAGUCCAUACAACACAGUUGUGCCAGGUAAGAAAUGCACUUGUCAAACUGUCAAAAUAUCCAUUUCUUCUGCUCUUCUCUUAACCAGUUGUGAACACUGAAGGAAGGCUGAGAAUUUUAGGUCUGUAUGUACGUUGAGCUGUAAGGUAUAAGUCACAAUCAUGAUAGCACCUUAAAUGAUAGCAAUUAAUAUUUCUCAAAACUAGGGCUUUUUUCCCUCUUCAUUGACUGAUACAGCAAUCAACGGACUGAUGCACAAAAUGAUAAAAUAGGCCUCUAAUAAGAAAAGGAAAACCUAUUAUUCUUGCUGUUUAAAUCCCCUGAAGCAGGAUUGGCUAUUGCUAUAAAAUCAGUGGAAUUAUACUUGCUAUUUCAACUUGCCAAACCAACCUUUUAUCCCUUUAAAUUCAGGUCUUUAGAGUAACUUGCCAAAAUAAUCUCUUGGCACCACUGAGGUGAGAAUCCACAUUGUGCUGCUCACAUAACUUCCUUGCUCAUAGAACCAUUCAUCCUGGAAAGAUUUUGACUGGGGACUUGUGCUUUUAACCCUUUUAGCUGCUUUUGAAAAUGCUGCCUUGCUAUCUUGCGGAAAAAGAUCAUGCCAUAAUGUACCAUGACAAUGGUGGUUGUGAGGAGUGUAAAGAAACAUUUAAAUAGAAAUUACAGCUAGAAAUGACAGCAUGUAAGGAAAAAUCAAAUUACAGGAUUUACCUUCCAAUUCUUAAGGGCAAAGAAAUUUAUUUGGCCCUUUUCUUGGAUGUAACUGGGCGAGGGAAAGAAAUACCGAGUCUCAUAUGAUCUUAAUUAUACGCUCUGGGUGCCAGCAACUUUCAGGGUACAUGUGGAUUCUUGACUGAGGCUCAGUGUGUGAACUUUGUCACUAGAGGACUGUGUCACACACAGAGCUGGGACAGGAGCCAUCAUUCACAAUUCAAACAAACCCCAAGCCCUUCAGGGAUUGAAAAGAAAUAUUCAGUUAACCAUAAAAACCGUGGCACGAUUCUCCAUACCCUUGUGCCCUUGGGAACAGAAAUACUUCAGGCUUCAAGUCAGGCCCUUCUUGUGAGGCUCUUGGACUGAACUGGAACCAUCAGCUAUUCAAACUAUUGUACAAAAUCCCGCUCUUUUGCAACUCCCAGCAGUUUUUCUAGACAAGGAGCACUAUAAUUCUAAGCUAUAGAUGCUUUCACUUCAAAACUUUUCCCUUGAUUUCUUGGGUAUCUUGGCAGAGGGUGUUUGGACACGACAGAGCCUGGAGGUCCAUGCCUUGCCGUGGGACAGAGCUGACAGUGGAGAAAAGGGGCAGGUGCUGGGUGCAGGAGGCUGAUUGUUACCAGCUGCAGCAAAAGUGCCUGUUUCCUGUCAAGUUUCAACAAGAAAAUCUAGGUGAAAGAGAUGAUGUUGGGAACAUUUUUCUGUAGGUGCUUGGUCUUUGUGUGUUGACUGAAGGCCUGCAAGACUUCGCUUGUCUGGCUGUAAGCCCCUCGGUGGAUUUUGUAACAGCCCUUGAGCAUGAGAGAUGGUGCAGCUGCUUCCAUCCUCCCACCUGAGCCACCUGAGCUGCAGGGAGAUGUCAGGCAUGUUGCACCCUUACCCCUAGGACACAUCUGAGUUUGGUGUCACAACGGGAAUCUCGUUGUGAGGAGCAGGAAGGUGUCCUUCAUGUUGCCUCUAGAACUGAAGUUAGGCCACUUUCAUGUUCCUACCUCAACUGCGUAUGGGAGGAAGAGGGCACACAGGGAUAUUCUUGUGCUCUUCUGGGAUUCCAUCCUUAACAGAAAGCAUACACAACUGGGGGGGAUGUUCCUGUGGCCAGCUGUGUGACAGCAAAAUUACUGCUCUCAUGAUAAGCAAUAGAGGUUCUGCUGCUGUUCAGAAAUAUACUGAAGGUUCAGACCAGAAUGAAAAUCAGUCCUACACAUGGUUGUUCACACUGUGAGCUCUUUAUACUGUCUUCAGGGGGAGAAAGUCUGCUGUGGAGAUCCAUCAUGUCCUGGCAAUUUAGAAGAAUUAGAGGGAACAUGCUACUUACCUAAAAGAACAAAUGCGAACAUAUGGAGAUAGCCUUUUUUUUCUUAACCUUAGGAAGUACCAGCAAAGAUUUUCAUGUUUGUAAAUUGUCAUUUUCUUAGAGCAAAGCCUUAUGGAAAAGUCAAGGUUUUUUUUAUGGAAGACGUGAUGGAAACUAUUACAGCUCUGAUCCUCGCUAUUGCUAGAAAAAACAGAGGUAGCAGCAGAAGAGGAAAGUAAGCGCUAAAGGUCAGCUAUGAGCCACAGGAAAAAUGAUGUGGCCUCAUCAGAGUUUUCUUUGGCUUCCUGAGGUCCCUACCUGCCCUCAAGAGAGUCCUUUCUUCAUUGGCUCCUGUGUGGAUCUGUCCUCUGAUGGCUGAACAAAUUGCUCUUCUCAGCAGUGACCAAACAUGAGAAUAACAGCUUUUCUCAUGAGGAUCACAUCUGGGCAACUGCUGUCAUCUUUCUCUGUCCUGCUUGCUCUAACUCUUGACUUGGAGAGGGGAAGACUGGUGUUUCAAUGUAUGAAAUGCCAGCUGGGAUCAAAUCAAUAACAUUGAUUUCAUCUUGCGCCUCCAAAGAGCUGGGACUUUUCCUUUUAAUUUUUUUUUUCCUGUAGCUCUAUUCUUUGCGAAGUAGAAGAGUGAAACAAAGACAUUGAGUGCUGCCAGUGGUCCUCAGGCACAGAGGCCAGAGCCAGAGCUGCAGAGCCCUCCAUGGGUUUGAAUAGCUUCACUCUCACUGGACUAAAUCAGGUUUGGAUGUAGGAACUUGGUUUUCACUUUUUGGGUUGGUUUGGGUCACUGUUUGUGAGUCCUAACAGGACAGAGUGCCCUUGCUUGCUGGGACCAGCCCUGCAGCCAGCCCAGGGCCAGAUGCCCAGCUGGUGAAGGUGACCACAUACCUUAACCUUAGAGAGUUAGGGCAGGUUACAGUUGCCUAUGUCAUGUCUCUGUAGGUUUUUUGACACAUUAUAGUCGUGCCUACACUGACUGUUAAAGACAGUCAUUGGUGACUUCUUUUGUGACCAGAGCAAGCUCUCUGCAGCAGCAGGUACUGCAGGUUGUUGAUGCAGCCCCUUGCACCUACAGAGCAGGCAGCAAGGGUGGGAGGAGGGUCUGCUCUGCUCCCCACUUCUCAGGGCAGUAUGGACACAGCCUGUAAAUCCUGCUGUGGAGCAGUUGUGGUUUGUCAGGUUAAGGCCCGUGGAGUGGUUAUGGAUGCUAAAGUAAUGCCAAGAUCUUCCUAUGGACCCAGUAGUUCAUAAAGUAUCAGAGGGCAGAGCAGGACAAUUCCUAGUUAGGCAAAUAAAGUAAAAUAUAAAUGGAAAGAUGUAAACUUGAUAAUCCAAAUGAGUUUACUUUCCUUUUUAUAUGACAGAUGUUGUUUGACCUAGGAGAAAGAAUAAUAUUAUAGAAAUGGAGAUCAGUCUGAGGGGAAAAAAAUAAAGUCAUAUAAAAAUAAACCACAAAUAGCAGCUGCUUGAAUUGUAUUUCUAAUAUAUCAGUGUUGACAGCUCUCUCUGUCCCCCAGUUGAGCCAGGAAUCUUAUACAAGUGGCUGGUAAAGAAGAGAUGAGGAGGGAUGUGAGCAGAGGCAACGGAGAGGCAGAGAUGAUACUGCUUUGUGUCGGCUCCAGAUGAAAGCGAUCUCCUCCUAAGCUUCUGUUUUCACACUUCUGAAUGGCAGCUUCCUCAUCUCAACCUCCUGAUGCUCCUCCUCGGGGCUUGAAGCUGGGGACCAGCUUGAGCCCUGAGUGUGUGUUCUGCAGCUCUCGGGUGUACAGCUGUGGCGUGGGCUGGAGUGGGUGUUUGUUAGCACAGGGGAAGCUCACUGGUAAUGGCCUUUUGUGUGUGCUGACCUCUGAACCAGAAACAAGAUUCAAACCUCAGAGGAGACCAGUGAUUAAUCAAAUUGGGGAUCAACUGUGACUCAACCUUUAGAUUCCCAGCUGAGGUUGUGUCCAUGGCUGAUUAAAAGAGGGAAAUAUAUUUAGCUAUUUACAGCUGUAUCUCCAUCUGAAAGAGGACAAGGCACCAUGGAUAAACAUAUUUAUGUUUGUUAGAUGUGCAAAUUGUGGUUCCUUUGAAAACCUCACAGUUCAUCAUAGAGCCUCAGAAAGCACAGGGCUGUUUAUUGACGCUAGAGGACUUCCCGAGACUGUGCCGUGGCCAUCCCUGCUCGGAGUACUUGACACAGGCUGGCACAUCAGCCAGGGAAAAACACCCAGGCAUUGCCAUCUGCACAUGAAAGACUAAAGGUGGCUCCAAGCAUUCCUCUGUAGGAGAUAAUUUUCCCCCUCAAUUAGGUUACAAUUUCUAGAUGCUGCACCUCAGAAGCUUACACUCUUCCCAAGCCCAGCUCUACAGUCAGCCAGUGGUGAACAGAACAUACAGACUUUCUAUUGCUAAUAUAUUUCAGAGUGCUGUGUGAUAUUAGCAAACUCCAAAUAGCUGUCAGGACCUGAAGGUAUUCUGGAACAUCCUUUGAUGUUACGAAGUAAUGCGUUUUCCAUAUUAUUCCUUUGAACACAUUAUAUAUGCAAAGUCUAGCACUUCUUAUAGGAGAGGUGGAAUUAUCAUACAAUAAGAUAUUUUUUCCUCUAGUUCUUUCAUGGCUCAUAACAUAUAAAAUUUCUCCUUAAAAUCCGGGCUAGGAACUCAAACUUAAUUUAUACAGUAUUGAAAACAUUACAGGGCAUAAAUCAGUUCAAUUUUUAAAGUUCCUGCAUGAUAUUUUCAGAGCAGCCGAAUUCCUUCAUUCGCCUGGACUCCUUCCAAAAUUCUGCCAGCGCUCAUGGAAAUCUAAAUAACUUUGGAGAAAAAGCAGGUUUUCUGUGGAGGCUCAGAUUACCCUGUCACCCUUCCUCCACUGCAGACAGGCCUCUGAUAAACAUGGAGAAUAGGGACAGGGAAAUUACUUCAUUACUUCAUGUCCUUUUCAAUUACAAACAUCAAGGAGUCUGAGCCUCCUGCCAGCUCACGCCCCAGACCCUUGCAAAUUUGUGGCUUUCAAAAGCCAACAGUUGCAUUUCCUUUGCCAGCAGGGAUAAGCGAUAGAAAGUGAGCAGGGGAGCUCUCUUGAAUUUUAUUUCUGAGUGUUAUUUAAAAAGUUUCAAAUCUCAGCUCUGUUUAUUUAAAGUAGGACUCCAGCUGAAAUGUAAGUCUGUGAACUAGAGAAGUGAUCAAAACAGGACCGCACCUUCCUUUCUUUUUUGAGAAUUAAUCACUUACUGGUGGUGUGUUACUGUAAUCUUCCUGUGAUCACUUAACCUGGAAGUGGUACUUCCAGAGAGCUUUGUGAUAUUCUCCUGCUGGCAUCUUCAGAUCUACUAUUUGUACCAUUCAUCUGUUUUCCCAGCACAUGAGGAUAAUGCAUUUGUUUUCUACCACCUUUGCUUUGUGUUUUGAUUUACACCUAAAGAAACAAGUGUAUUUUCUUUGAUGUAAUUUUUCCAUUAUUGAUGAACCAAUAUUACAAAACCAAGGCUUUUUAAGAUCUUACUUAGAAACCUCGUUGUUUCUACCAAAUAACAAAAAAAGUAAACCCCAGUUUCAGAACGCUGUGGCAGGAGUGAAUCUGAUUUCCUACUUAGAGCACAAACCAUAGAGGCUCAACCUCUGCUCAGUUUUUAGGUUUUUUUAGGCUUAAAGUCACCGAAAUAGAAGCCUGUGUUUGGGUUAACCACAGGUGUCUGUGUAUAGCUCUGGGAGGGUUUGCUGGGAUUAUUCUGUUCCUCUUUUUUUACACCAUGAUUCUGCAGUGUGGGCUCAGGUGACUUGGUACCUCAGCUGGCCAGAUGUCUGCCCUGCAGUGGUGUUAUGUCCUGAUCACCUUUGUGAUCAUCUUUGUGGUCAGGAGAGAGAGAGAAGGGAGAGGAGGACCUGUGAAAAGGUUGUGGGGUUCUUCAGUGCUUUGCAAUUCAGGUUUUGCUUUGAUAUGAAUUCAACAAUCCAAACAUUCUUGUGAAAUGAAUCUGCAGUGGGUGUGGGUAGAGCAAACAGGUGAUGACAUGGAAAUCAAGAGGCUAUCCAGAAGUUCUCACUACAUCUUUUCCCAGGUUUUACUUGUUUCUUACUUGCACAUUAUUUGAAUACUUCUGUUUAAGUCAGUGGGAAUUUUUCUAAGUGAAAUUGAAGUUGUUACCUAGAAGGUGUGCAGAAUCUUUUUGAUGCCUUCAAAGCUUCAUCCCUUGGCUGGAACUCUCCUGGAUUCAGGCUCUGUGUGGGUAUGUACAUGUAUGUAUGUGUGUGUUUGCUUCUUGAUAUUUUCUGCUACCUCUUGGGCCAUAAAUAUUGUGUGAACCACAACAGAGGCAUGUCUACUGCUGGUAUCAGCCCAAGUGUGGAAGUACAUAAAACAAAAAAGUACUAAGGAAAAGUUCACCAGACUUGGAAACUCCCAGCUGGCAAGGGAGCUGCCUGGAAUGAAUGAUCUAUACCUGGAAUAAUUUUGUGUACUCACUGACUCCCUAAGAUAGGAUGCCAAAACUGGUUUUUUGCAUAAUGCUAAGGUCACAAUGAUGUAGGUAUUUUUUAGUUAAUGGAAAUUUUGGAUGUGCUGUAAGCAAUUUUUUCUUUUAAGAAGGAAGACUGCAGAUGGACUAUCAUUCUAUUUGCUGAUAUGUAAUAAGGAAAGGUGUAUCAACCCAAGAAUCCUAUUGUUGUGACAAAUCACAAGAAGGGGAGUAAGACAGUGCCUGCUAAAUGUAGCCUGUGCAAAUCCAGUACAUUCCAAAUCCAUGGAGUGAAAUACUGUUUGGAAUAAAAUAUGAUCGAAACAUUUCUGGAAAUAUAACUCUACUGGCUAGUUCCCCACCUGGACUUAGUUUUCAUAUUGUAGGAGAGUAAUUAAAUUUUUAUUCUUUUUAAAUUAUAGCCCCCCCCAACCCAAUAUCAGUUCUCUUGUCUUCCCACUGAAGCAAGCACUGUUAAGCUGCUAUAACUUUAAGAGCAUGAAAGCAAAUGUUGUAAAGAGGUCACUGUAAAGGUCACGCAGCAGGUUUGAUGUGUCAGUGGAUAAAUGAUGGGAUCACAUCUGGAACAGUUUGGUGAAUAAAUAAAAUGUGAAAGCUCAUAUAUCACUGCCCACCUUCCAAUCUGUAAGGGAAAGAGAAAAUAAAUUCUCUAAUAACCUUGUAAAGCACAUAAAAGAUAUUGAAUAAACUCUUGAAAUUUUGUGACUAAAA